rnacentral:rRNA from 1 species
GUGCCAGCAGCCGCGGUAAUUCCAGCUCCAAUAGCGUAUAUUAAAGUUGUUGUGGUUAAAAAGCUCGUAGUUGAACCUUGGGCCUGGCUGGCCGGUCCGCCUCACCGCGUGCACUGGUCCGGCCGGGCCUUUCCCUCUGUGGAACCCCAUACCCUUCACUGGGCGUGGCGGGGAAACAGGACAUUUACUUUGAAAAAAUUAGAGUGCUCCAGGCAGGCCUAUGCUCGAAUACAUUAGCAUGGAAUAAUAAAAUAGGACGCGCGGUUCUAUUUUGUUGGUUUAUAGGACCGCCGUAAUGAUUAAUAGGGACAGUCGGGGGCAUCAGUAUUCAACUGUCAGAGGUGAAAUUCUUGGAUCAGUUGAAGACUAACUACUGCGAAAGCAUUUGCCAAGGAUGUUUUCAUUAAUCAGGAACGAAAGUUAGGGGAUCGAAGACGAUCAGAUACCGUCGUAGUCUUAACCAUAAACUAUGCCGACUAGGGAUCGGACGGUGUUAUUCAUGACCCGUUCGGCACCUUACGAGAAAUCAAAGUGCUUGGGCUCCAGGGGGAGUAUGGUCGCAAGGCUGAAACUUAAAGAAAUUGACGGAAGGGCACCACCAGGGGUGGAGCCUGCGGCUUAAUUUGACUCAACACGGGGAAACUCACCAGGUCCAGACACAAUAAGGAUUGACAGAUUGAGAGCUCUUUUCUUGAUUUUGUGGGUGGUGAUGCAUGGACGUUCUUAGUUGGUGAGGUGACUUGUCUGCUUAAUUGCGAUAACGAACGAGACCUUAACCUGCUAAAUAGCCCGCAUUGCUCCGGCAGUGCGCUGGCAUUUUAGAGGGACUUUCGGCUCAAGCCGAAGAAGUUGGAGGCAUAUG